rnacentral:tRNA from 1 species
AUAUUAUUUUGGCAGACUAGUGCUUUAAAUUUAGAAUUUAAAUAUGUAAGGGAUUACAAGUAAUAC